rnacentral:tRNA from 1 species
GCGGAUGUAGUUCAGUGGUAGAACCACAGCCUUCCAAGCUGUUUAUGUCGGUUCGAUUCCGAUCAUCCGCUCCA